rnacentral:rRNA from 1 species
AGUGAACGCUGGCGGUAGGCCUAACACAUGCCAGUCGAACGGCAGCACAGUAAGAGCUUGCUCUUACGGGUGGCGAGUGGCGGACGGGUGAGGAAUACAUCGGAAUCUACUUUUUCGUGGGGGAUAACGUAGGGAAAUUUACGCUAAUACCGCAUACGACCUACGGGUGAAAGCAGGGGAUCUUCGGACCUUGCGCGAUUGAAUGAGCCGAUGUCGGAUUAGCUAGUUGGCGGGGUAAAGGCCCACCAAGGCGACGAUCCGUAGCGGGUCUGGGAGGAGGAUCCGCAACACGGGACCGAGGAAACGCCCCGACACCGUAGGGGAGGCACCGUCGGGAAUUAUUGGGGAAGGGGCGAAGGCCGAUACAGGCCAAACGGCGUGGGGAAAAACGACCUUCGGGUGGUAAGGCCUUUUGGUGGGAAAGAAAAAAAGCCCGUUUAACCCCCCGCUUUCUGACGGUACCCGAAGAAUAAGCCCCGGCUAACUUCGUG